rnacentral:rRNA from 1 species
CCUACGGGAGGCAGCAGUGAGGAAUAUUGGUCAAUGGGCGCGAGCCUGAACCAGCCAAGUCGCGUGAGGGAUGACGGCCCUACGGGUUGUAAACCUCUUUUGCCGGGGAGCAACGGGCGCCACGUGUGGCGCCACUGAGAGGACCCGGAGAAAAAGCAUCGGCUAACUCCGUGCCAGCAGCCGCGGUAAGACGGAGGAUGCGAGCGUAAGCCGGAUUGAUUGGGUUUCAAGGGUGCGUAGGCGGAUCGUUAAGUCAGUGGUCAAAUUGCGGGGCCCAACCCCUUCCCGCCAUUGAAACUGGCGCUCUUGAGUGGCAGAGAAGUAUGCGGAAUGCGUGGUGUAGCGGUGAAAUGCAUAGAUAUCACGCAGAACCCCGAUUGCGAAGGCAGCAUGCCGGCUUCCGACUGACGCUGAAGCACGAACGCGUGGGGAUCGAACAGGAUUAGAUACCCCGGUAGUC